AGAAAGAUUAAUACCGGAUGGCCCCGCAUGGGUAAAGAAUUUCGGUUGUCGAUGGGGAUGCGUUCCAUUAGGCAGUUGGCGGGGUAACGGCCCACCAAACCUACGAUGGAUAGGGGUUCUGAGAGGAAGGUCCCCCACAUUGGAACUGAAACACGGUCCAAACUCCACGGGAGGCAGCAGUGAGGAAUAUUGGUCAAUGGACGAGAGUCUGAACCAGCCAAGUAGCGUGAAGGAUGACUGCC
rnacentral:rRNA from 1 species